rnacentral:lncRNA from 1 species
GGAAUGCGUUUGCCCAAAUGAAGCUUCCGAAAUACGCUUUGCCCAAGGAUAUGCAUGUCAUUAGCACAGAUGAGAACCAAGUGUUUGCAGCAGUCCAAGAAUGGAACCAGAAUGAUACCUACAACCUCUACAUCUCAGACACCCGAGGUGUCUACUUCACAUUGGCCUUGGAGAAUGUCCAGAGCAGCAGAGGUCCUGAGGGUAACAUCAUGAUUGACCUCUAUGAGGUAGCAGGGAUAAAGGGAAUGUUCUUGGCUAACAAGAAGAUUGACAACCAAGUGAAGACCUUCAUCACAUACAACAAAGGCAGAGACUGGCGUUUGCUGCAGGCACCAGACACAGAUCUCAGAGGGGACCCUGUGCAUUGCUUGCUGCAGCAGGUCUCUUCUUAAGCUGCAUUGGAAACCCAUAUCCUCGAUUUAUCCUGGCCAUUAACCUCUCCUGAGAUGGUGCUGGAUUCAUGAAGUCUGACAAGGCAGAGUAUGGACAAUAACCCGUGGAAGGCCAUUAAAUUUCAUCACCAAUCACUGCAAAUCUAUUUCUGUGCUGCCUUUAAUUUACCAUGUUAAAUCACAAUUGUAAAAAUUGUCAAAUCAAAUUUUCCCCAUCAACUGCAAGGCAUUAAAAGACAAAUUAUAUUUUUAAAGCACACAUUUAUUAUUCUUUCUUAAUUCUUUUUUUUCUUCACCCCAUUUCCCCCCAGGGGGUGGAAAGAGUGGUUCAAGAGAGUCCUGU